rnacentral:rRNA from 1 species
CCGGAUUAGAUACCCCGGUAGUCCACGCCGUAAACUAUGGAUGCUAGCUGUUCUCGGUAUCGACCCCGAGUGUAGCGAAGCUAACGCGUUAAGCAUCCCGCCUGUGGAGUACGGUCGCAAGACUAAAACAUAAAGGAAUUGACGGGGACCCGCACAAGCGGUGGAGCGUGUUGUUUAAUUCGAUGGUAAACGAAGAACCUUACCCAGGUUUGACAUCCUUGGAAUUUCUCCGAAAGGAGAAAGUGCUUUUAGAGCCAAGUGACAGGUGUUGCAUGGCCGUCGUCAGCUCGUGUCGUGAGAUGUUUGGUUAAGUCCAUUAACGAGCGCAACCCUUAUAGUUAGUUGAAUUUUUCUAGCUAGACUGCCCUGGUAACAGGGAGGAAGGAGGGGAUGAUGUCAGGUCAGUAUUACCCUUACAUCUGGGGCUACAAACACGCUACAAUGGCCAGUACAAAGGGCAGCCAAGUCGCGAGACGGAGCAAAUCCCAUCAAAGCUGGUCUCAGUUCGGAUAGCAGGCUGAAACUCGCCUGCUUGAAGCUGGAAUCGCUAGUAACGGUAGGUCAGCUAUACUACCGUGAAUACGUUCCCGGGUCUUGUACACACCGCCCGUCAAACCAUGAAAGUCGCCAAUACCUGACGUACUAGCUUGCCUAGUCCUAAGGUAGGGGAGAUGAUUGGGGUUAAGUCGUAACAAGGUAACCGUA